AAAGCUCAAAUUUAAAAUCUGACUGUCUUCGAUAGUCCGAGUUGUAAAUUAGAGAAGUGCUAUCCGCGCUAGCCUGUGCAAAAGUCUCUUGGAAAAGAGCAUCAUAGAGGGUGACAAUCCCGUCUUUGGCACAGAUCACUGGGGCUUUUGUGAUACGCUCUCGACGAGUCGAGUUGUUUGGGAAUGCAGCUCUAAAUGGGUGGUAAAUUCCAUCUAAAGCUAAAUAUUGGCGAGAAACCGAUAGCGCA
rnacentral:rRNA from 1 species